CACCCCCAAACUUAAAAUUUUCAAUGUCCCCAUUGAAAGUGAUAAAAAGGCUAGAGCACCCACAUACCUACUCGGAGUCCGAGUCCUCCCCCUCCUCUGCUGGAGGUGAAUCAGGUGGAGGAUACUGCAUCCCCGCUCCGAAUACUGGCCACUGAACUGUGACCCCCUGUGCCUGAAAAGCACUACCUAGAGCCUGUGUCAAAUCAAACGCAAACCUCUGGUGGAUGUCAUGCAUGGUGUCCAUCCGUCUCGCUAAUCGGCGAUAAUGAACAUCUCCCAU
rnacentral:lncRNA from 1 species